CACUGUGGCCGGGGCAUGGCUCCUUCACCCCGGGGCUCACCCUCGGUGUCCGUGAAGUCCAGCCGACGGUGACCCUAAGUCCUCCCUCCACUCGCCUAUGUUUGGGGAUAGCCCAUCCUUCCUGCAGGCCUUUGUCUUGGUGUCACCCUGCCUGAGCUGGCCCCAACCACAGUAGCAACAGUGAUGCUGAUGUGUGACUGCUGCCAGGAGCCUGCUCACAUGACCGUGUGGAGAAAGUUCUUUCCCUGAGGACCAUCUGGAGUGGACGCGUGCACUACCCCUCUCUGAAUACACCCUCCCCACGAGGCCCUCUGGAGCAUCCUGUAGAGCCAGCCCCUACCCAGAGACCCUGAGCCCAGAGAAUGCGCUGGGUGGUGAGCCUGGGGACGAAUGCAGAGCCCUAGGUCUCCUCUCCAGAAGUUGGAGUGCCAUGGUGUGGUCAUAGCCCACUGAAGCCUCAAACCUCUGGGCUGAAGCCAUCCUUCCGCCUCAGCCUCCCAAGUAGCUGGGACCAUAGGUGCAUGGCACUGUGCCUGGCACUGUCUGAAUGCAUACAGCUGCGUAGCAUCGUGGUAAGAACACCCGCCCUGACAUCACACAGACCUGCAUCCACGUCCCAGCUGAGCCUCAGUUCUCACAUCUGCAAAAUGGGGAGAACAACAGCAGCAGCGUCCUGAGGCUGGGGUGAGGACCGAGUGAAAAACCUUUGUCGCAUCUUUGGGCAUCGCAGGAGUUCAAUA
rnacentral:lncRNA from 1 species